rnacentral:rRNA from 1 species
CACGUAGGGGGCUAGCGUUGUCCGGAAUCAUUGGGCGUAAAGCGCGCGUAGGCGGCCCGGUAAGUCCGCUGUGAAAGUCCAGGGCUCAACCCUGGAAAGCCGGUGGAUACUGCCGGGCUAGAGUCCGGGAGAGGCGAGUGGAAUUCCUGGUGUAGCGGUGGAAUGCGUAGAUAUCGGAAGGAACACCUGUGGCGAAAGCGGCUCUCUGGACCACAACUGACGCUGAGGCGCGAAAGCUAGGGGAGCAAACAGG